UAUGUUGCUGUGGCUGUGGUGUAAACCAGCAGCUACAGCUCUGAUUCAACCCCUAGCCUGGGAACCUCCGUAUGCCACCAGUGUGGCCAAACAAAAAAACCCUGUACACAUUGUUCUGUCUUAUUCCUUGAUUACUUAUUUUCCAUCCAUCCAUCCAUCCAUCCAUCCAUUCAAACUUGUGUUUGAUCUGUAGGAGAGACGUGAAUUAACUUGUCACAUAAUGUGUAUGCCAGGGCUACGGAACAGGGGUGCAAACUUUUACAAGCAUCUGUGAUGGGGUGGGGGGGUGGGGAUUUGACCUAAUCAGAGAGAUCAGGGGAAGCUAUCUGGAGGAAGUCCCAUAUGAGCCAAGAUCUAAAAGAAGGAAGUCAUUAACUACAGCCAAAGUGGGGACAGAGGAUAUUGCAGGAAGAGGGGAUGGUGUGUGAAAGGCCCCGGGGGUGUGUGGCAGUGUGCAAGGAGGAGAAAGUGAGAGAGGCCAGACAGUGGAGAGGGCAGGAUAAGACAGGGUCAGCCCCCUUGGCAAGGCCAGAGCAGCCGCAGAUGGCCCGCAGCAUCCAGAUGUGCUCAAUAGGUGUCCAGAGCCAGGGCAGGUGUCCUUUGUAGGAGAUGUCACCUCCUCUAGGAGACCGGUCUCAACCCCCCAGCCUAGGUUAGGCCCCUCCUUUGUGUUCCCAAAGGACCCAGGCCUUCCCCUGAUCAUUUAACCUAUGAAAGUCUACUUUAAUGAUCUGUUUUCUUAUUUUUGGUCUCCCCAUCUCUCAGUUUGUGACCUCCUGGAAGGCAGAGACGUUGGCUAUUCAUCCUAGGCCACCAGUGCCUAACCAGAUGCCUGAGACAUGAGAGAUGACCCCUUAGUGUUUGAGGAAUGAAUGAAUGGAGGGCCCUCGGUCACAGUGUGUGCUGGACAGAUGUCUGGAUUUCUACACACUCAGGAAGGCCCAGCGGGGCCCUGCGCUGCAAACAGGAGAGUGUGGGGACAGGGGUCUCUGCUGACUUACGGAGGAGAAAGGGAGCCAGAGGCUGGAAAAAAGGAAGGUCAGAAGAUACUGUGCAGUUAGUACCAUAUGAAGGAAAACAGGAUUUACAGUGCCAUCCUUAAGAGGAAGGAGCGAGGACAAUGUCAAGGAGGAUUUAUUUACCAGAUGCAAAAAAGGAAUUUUGGCAGGUGAGGAAACUGAAGAGCAGAGAAGUUAAAUACAUCCUCCAUGGCCGAGCAGCCAGGAAGGGACAGCUAGGCUCGGAACUCAAGUGCUCUGGCCCUGAAGCUGGGCUCUUAUCCCCACCCCGUGCUGCCUUCAAGCCAGCCCUUGCUCUGCUACUGGUAUAACAAAGGACUUGGUAUCUUUUUUAAGGUCCUCCUAAGAGGGAGGUAUGGUUCUUCCCCAUUUUGCAGAUGACAAAAUUGAGGCUCAGAGAGGUUUUUUUUGCAGGGGAUCAGCCUGCUCAUCAGUGACAGAGCCAGGAUCUACGAUUACAGCCACCCUCGCUGUCUCCCCCAUCCCCUGAUGCCCUCGGCUGAGCUCUAAACCUGGGUUGUAAGCCACUCCCUCUGCAGCUUGGGAACCCCAGCCAAGGCCUGGCAGAUGCAGCACCCUGUGUGCAUUUCUGACUCAGCACACUUUCUCUACUCUGCAGCUUCCCAUCCCGCUCUGAGUCUCUAACCCACUACUACUGAGACAGGAACACAUUCUCAACCUGGCACGAGAUUGGGAACAGCUAAAUACAUCAGCAAUUUUGGGGGAAGGAUAAAAUCUAUUUAUACACCCCUGAUGGACAGGAAGGCGACAGCCCAAUCUAGGGGGAGGGGUUAGGGACUCAGCAAGUCAGCAUCCCAGGGAGCUGUGUGGUCCAUGUGUGACAUCCCACGUGGGGUUUGGAGCUCUGGUGGACCCUCCGUCUCACUUGGAUGCCAGGAUGCUUUCCCUGAUGCUGCCCCUCCCUGCUCUCCUGCUCCCUCUGUCCGGGGCUCCCUUGGUCCAAUGGCUGACAGGCUCAUACACACCUGAAACCAGGGAAAGGGGCAACUGGACCCAGCCCAGCCUCCUUGCCAUGGAGGCCUAGGGCCAAGUUGAAAGCUCAGACCAGUCAGGCUCAUCUGACAGCAUCCCUCCAAUACAGUCCUCCCAUGCUGAGCUACCUUCAUAUUACUUUGGUCACUGACAUCUAAAGGAGACCUAUCUAAUACAUGCCUCAUCUUCACAUGAUAACACUAUUAAAUGCAGACAGAAUAAUCAUGUGCUCAUUCAUUCCCCCUGCUCAUUUUAGUUUGAGAGGCUACAAAUUCAAAUAUCCCUAUCGGGAUUUCCUUGUCUAGUUCAGGGGUCAGACAGCUAGCAAAUAUUUCAGACUUUGUGGAGCAUAGGAUCCUGGUGCAAUUACUCAACUCUGCUGCUGUAGCGUGAAAGCAUGUGAACAAAUGAAUGUGGCCGUAUUCCAAUCAAACCUAAUUUUAUAAAAGCUACUGCACGCUGGACUUGGCACACAGGCUGGAGUUUGCCAACCCCUGACCUAGUUGGUCUUUUUGGAUCUGAUCUUGGGGUUCUUGUUUCUCCCUAUUAAACAUAAUCUUAUUAGCUUCCAUCUGUCUUUCGAGUCAGCCAGCAUAGUUUUGAAUUCUGAUUCCACCACCCAGUACAGCAGCUGUCUUUCCUUGCUCUAUGUCAUGUGAGUAUUGAAUGACCUUCCGGGGUCUUAAUGGUUCAUCAGACCAGCAGGAUUUUGAAAAUGGGGUAGGUGGUGCUGUGCUGCUCAUCCUGGGAAAGGACACACUAGGGAGAAGCCAGGACCGCCAAGGUAAGGUGCUCGACUAGACAGCCUUAUAAUCACAUGGCCUCUGUGUACUUACAAGGGCCAGCACCCAGGCUCUGUUUCUUUGAUUUCUUAAGGGCAGCUGGCUCAGGGGCAGGGAGGAGUAAUUUGGAGGCUAUUUGUUUGCUGAAAAAUUCCUUUUUUUUUUUUUUUUUUUCGUCUCUUUGCCAUUUCUUGGGCCGCCACCGUGGUAUAUGGAUGUUCCCAGGCUAGGGGUCAAAUCGGAGCUGUAGCCACCAGUCUACACCACAGCCACAGCAAUGCAGGAUCCAAGCCGCAUCUGCAACCUACACCACAGCUCACCGCAACACCAGAUCCUUAACCCACUGAGCAAGGCCAGGGAUCGAACCCGCAACCCCAUGGUUCUAGUUGGAUCCGCUAACCACUGAGCCACGACGGGAACUCUAAAAAUUCCUUCACUUAGCACUCACUCUUAUUCAAUGUGAUAAACCCCCAUGCCUGCUCUUUUACUGCGUCCUCCAGCAACCUCUGGGCCACCCUGCCUGAGUCAGAGCCCUGAAAUCCCACUCUUCUGACUGGAUAGCCCUGAGCAUCACCAAAUCCAGUACCUCUUGUGUUCUGGAUGAGAAAACCGAAGCCCGAGAUGGGAGCCACUUGCCCAAAGGCAUGGAGGGCAUCUAUGGAAGAGCCAGCCUGGAACCCAGGGUCCUGCUUCUUUCCACAUUCUUCCAGAAGGAUGCCUCCAGUGAGCUUCUAGGCCAUGAAGCCCCAGCAUUCCUCCUCUUAUAGUCUGGUGACAGAGGACUGGGGACUUGCGUAUACCAGAGCUUCUGUCUGGGCCUCCCAGCUGCCAUUAAGAUGGACAAACCUGUUGUUCCCAUCGUGGCUCAGUGGUUAAUGAACCUGACUAGUAUCCAUGAGGACAUGGGUUUGAUCCCUGCCCUUGCUCAGUGGGUUGGGGAUCCAGCGUUGCCGUGAACUGUGGUGUAGGUCACAGACUCGGCUCGAUCCAGAGUUGCUGUCGUUGUGGUGUAGGCCAGCAGCGACAGCUCCGAUGUGACCCCUAGCCUGGGAAUCUCCAUAUGCUGCAGGUGCAGCCCUAAAAAGACCAAAAAAAAAAAAAAAAAGACAGACCUGGUUUUUCCUGCAGAGUUCUGCUUUUGUGGACAUCUCUCUCACAGGCUUCGCUCUAAAGCCAAAAAGACCUUGCAUCAGCCAUAAGCAAACUGUGAAGUGCAUGAGCUGCUUUGUAACUUGCCUCCUUUAAACCAGAUUGAUGAUG